rnacentral:rRNA from 1 species
UGAGGAAUAUUGGUCAAUGGGCGAGAGCCUGAACCAGCCAAAUCGCGUGAAGGAAGACUGCCUUAUGGGUUGUAAACUUCUUUUAUACAGGAAUAAAAAAGGGGACGUGUCCCUUAUUGCAUGUACUGUAUGAAUAAGCAUCGGCUAACUCCGUGCCAGCAGCCGCGGUAAUACGGAGGAUGCGAGCGUUAUCCGGAUUUAUUGGGUUUAAAGGAUGCGCAGGCGGGCUUUUAAGUCAGCGGUGAAAUCUCGGGGCUUAACUCCGAAACUGCCGUUGAAACUGGGAGUCUUGAGUAUGGAUGAAGUAGGCGGAAUUCGUUGUGUAGCGGUGACAUGCUUAGAUAUAACGAGGAACUCCGAUUGCGUAGGCAGCUUACUAAGCCAUAACUGACGCUCAAGCACGAAAGCGUGGGGAUCAAACAGGAUUAGAUACCCUGGUAGUCCACGCCGUAAACGAUGAUUACUAGUUGUAUGCGAUAUACCGUAUGUGACUAAGCGAAAGCGAUAAGUAAUCCACCU